UGGGCUUAAAUGCAUUCUGACAGGCUGGGAAACCAGCCCUCCUUCGGGCAGAAUGCAAGGUGCUGCAUGGCCGUCGUCAGCUCGUGCUGUGAGGUGUCGGGUUAAGUCCCAUAACGAGCGCAACCCCUAUUUCUAGUUGCCAGCGAGUAAUGUCGGGGACUCUAGAGAAACUGCCCGCGCAAGCGGAGAGGAAGGUGGGGAUGACGUCGUAUCUCACUG
rnacentral:misc_RNA from 1 species